UACGUAGGGGGCAAGCGUUGUCUGGAUUUAUUGGGCGUAAAGAGCGUGUAGGCGGCUUUACAGGUCCGUUGUGAAAACUCGAGGCUCAACCUCGAGACGCCGGUGGAAACCGUAAGGCUAGAGUCCGGAAGAGGAGAGUGGAAUUCCUGGUGUAGCGGUGAAAUGCGCAGAUAUCAGGAGGAACACCGGUGGCGAAGGCGGGUCUCUGGACAGUUCCUGACACUGAGACACGAAGGCCAGGGGAGCAAACAGG
rnacentral:rRNA from 1 species